GAGAGAGCACUGGACUGGGGGUCAGAAGGCCCACGUCUGUUGGCUUAGCUGUCCCCUGUGUUAGUGGGGCCAGUGUUUGCUUUCACUGG
rnacentral:miRNA from 1 species